UGAGUACGAGAUGCUACGGCAUCGAAGCAGUCUAUGUCAUACUUCCAAGAAAAGCUUGCACUGUCAGAAACAGAUAAUGCCUGUACCAUAACCGACACAGGUGGGUAGGUAGAGUAUACUAAGGGGCGCGAGAUAACUCUCUCUAAGGAACUCGGCAAAAUGACUCCGUAACUUCGGGAGAAGGAGUGCCUUAUUUUUAAGGUUGCAAUAACAAGAUCCAAGCAACUGUUUACCAAAAACACAGGUCUCCGCUAAGUCGUAAGACGAUGUAUGGGGGCUGACGCCUGCCCAGUGCCAGAAGGUUAAAGAAGUCGGUUAGCAUUCGCGAAGCUGGUAACUGAAGCCCUGGUGAACGGCGGCCGUAACUAUAACGGUCCUAAGGUAGCGAAAUUCCUUGUCGGGUAAGUUCCGACCCGCACGAAAGGCGUAAUGAUUUGGAUACUGUCUCGGAGGGGGGCUCGGUGAAAUAGACUUGUCUGUGAAGAUGCGGACUACCUGCACCUGGACAGAAAGACCCUAUGAAGCUUUACUGUAACUUGAAAUUGAAAUUGGACUUUAUUUGCGCAGUAUAGGUGGGAGGCGUUGAAAAUAUUCUUGCGGGAAUAUUGGAGCCAUCAGUGAGAUACCACUCUUGUAAUGUUAGAUUUCUAACUUUAUAUCAUUAUCUGGUUAAAGAACAGUUUCAGGCGGGCAGUUUGACUGGGGCGGUCGCCUCCCAAAUGGUAACGGAGGCGCACAAAGGUUUCCUCUGAACGGGUAGAAAUCGUAUCUAGAGUGUAAAGGCAUAAGGAAGCUUGACUGUGAGACCUACAAGUCGAGCAGGGACGAAAGUCGGUCUUAGUGAUCUGACGGUGCUGAGUGGAAAGGCCGUCACUCAACGGAUAAAAGUUACUCUAGGAUAACAGGCUGAUCUCCCCCAAGAGUUCACAUCGACGGGGAGGUUUGGCACCUCGAUGUCGGCUCAUCGCAUCCUGGGGCGGUAGUACGUCCCAAGGGUUGGGCUGUUCGCCCAUGAAAGCGGUACGCGAGCUGGGUUCAGAACGUCGUGAGACAGUUCGGUCCAUAUCCGGUGUAGGCGUUAGAAUAUUGAGAGGAGCCUUCUUUAGUACGAGAGGACCGAGAAGGACAUACCUCUGGUGUACCAGUUAUCGUGCCAACGGUAAACGCUGGGUAGCUAUGUAUGGAGUGGAUAACCGCUGAAAGCAUCUAAGUGGGAAGCCCACCUCAAGAUAAGUAUCCUC
rnacentral:rRNA from 1 species